AAAGAGAACGCAAAAGAUGCCUCCUAUAAUGGGCUCUGGAAUGGUGAUAAAAAGUGCUCCAAAUUUGGAUAAAACGCCAAAAACCAUCAUCAUUAGCGCUGCAGCUUGUAUCACUCUCCUGCUUCCCACCUGAAGGCUCCAAUGUUUUCCGAGUAACUUGUCGUUCCAUUGCCAGAGCCCCAAAUUCCAGCUAGGAUGCAGCCGAGACCUUCUAUAGCGAUCCCUCGGUUCAUAGCGUGAACAGGAGGUGGUCGUGCACCGGCUAAUCUAGCGCAAGCAUAGUAAUCUCCUAUGCUCUCGAUGGCCGAUGCCAAAACACCCGCCAACAUUCCAAACACAGCCGCCACGCUCACCGUUGGAAGACCCCAUUGACCUAUUUAAUAAACGCCCCAGUGUUUGCCUGCCAUGUUUCCUGCCGCGCCAAAAAGCGACAAUCCCACCAUGACAAUGGCAGGAGCGAUUGUUAGUGGAGUAAUGAAUCGCAGAAUCAAACCGACAAUUCCUUCAAAGAUAACGUUCAAGUUUAAACAAUACCAGAAGAUACCAUCAGGACAUUCAAAUAAUACCGAAAACACCGAUGGCGACUUGGAAGACGGAAGCGACGAUGAUGGCGCCCUGCACUUCCCUCAUCCUCAAUUGCCACAGUUCCGUCUUGUCCUCGUACGUCAUGUUGGCCAUGACUUGGGGCGCUGGGCAUGACCACUCAGGCAGAUUCAAGAUCGCAAAUGUAGGCACCAAGAAUGCGAACGUACCUCCUUGAACUAUAGUGCACUGGAGCAGAGUGAUGAUGCCCGAGACAAAGAUGAUGGUGGAAACGAUGGCGCUGCGCACCGGAUCGUUCUCUUCCAUGCACAAGGCCGGCGUCAGGAUGAAAGGCACGGAAAUGGUCCCUCCGAACAUCAUCAAAUAGUGCUGUCAAAAGAAAAAGACCGGAUGAAAAUCUUUUGAAUUUUGAAACAGUUGCUGGAGGCGGGAAUCCCGUUGCAUUUGGGGAGGAAAUAUAGGACAUCUAGCGACCUAGAUUCAAAGACGCGUACAAACACACAACGAAGGCCUCGGUAUGAAAGGUAUAACUAAUACCGAUUUUGAAUGUUAUUUAAUUAUUUACCUGAAAUCCCAAAAGACAGGAAAGAUGCCACGGUGGAACGUCAUCGACCGAAUAGAGUAAAGAAUGUUGACGCGGCUUGCUGAUGGACUCAGCUACAUCCAAUUGAUUAUCUUCUUUUUGCUGAUGCGUUUCGGAAUCCUUCCGGUUGAGAGCUAAAUUUGUUUGACCGUUGCUGGCCAUCCUAAAUAUUCCCUAAACUUUACAACUGAUUCACCUGCAGUAGCACAUCGACUCCAAGUGGGACGCGCUUACCCGAGUAA